UACGUAGGGUGCAAGCGUUAAUCGGAAUUACUGGGCGUAAAGCGUGCGCAGGCGGUGAUGUAAGACAGGUGUGAAAUCCCCGGGCUUAACCUGGGAACUGCAUUUGUGACUGCAUCGCUGGAGUGCGGCAGAGGGGGAUGGAAUUCCGCGUGUAGCAGUGAAAUGCGUAGAUAUGCGGAGGAACACCGAUGGCGAAGGCAAUCCCCUGGGCCUGCACAUGACGCUCAUGCACGAAGCGUGGGAGCAAACAGGA
rnacentral:rRNA from 1 species